CUGGCGGCGUGCCUAACACAUGCAAGUCGAACGAGAAAGUGUAGCAAUACAUGAGUAAAGUGGCGACCGGGUGAGUAACACGUGACUACCUGCCCUUGAGUGGGGGAUAACUUCGGGAAACAGAGGCCAAUACCGCAUAACAUCGCAAGAUCAAAGGAGCAAUCCGCUGAAGGAGGGGGUCGCGGCUGAUUAGCUAGUUGGUGAGGUAACGGCUCACCAAGGCGAAAAUCAGUAGCCGGCCUGAGAGGGCGCACGGCCACACUGGAACUGAAACACGGUCCAGACUCCUACGGGAGGCAGCAGUGGGGAAUUUUGCGCAAUGGGGGAAACCCUGACGCAGCAACGCCGCGUGGAGGAUGAAGUCCCUUGGGAUGUAAACUCCUUUCGAUCGGGACGAUAAUGACGGUACCGGAAGAAGAAGCACCGGCUAACUCUGUGCCAGCAGCCGCGGUAAUACAGAGGGUGCAAGCGUUGUUCGGAAUUAUUGGGCGUAAAGGGCGCG
rnacentral:rRNA from 1 species